rnacentral:lncRNA from 1 species
AGCCCUCAAGUGUACUUCACUCUUCAAUUAGAUGUGCCGUGUUGGUAGAAAUAGUGAAAAAAGUAAAGAUCUUUUCUUCUUUAUGAUUCUGCUCCAAACACCACGUGCCGCCUCUGAGCUUUCCUCGUCCGUGAGCCUCGGUCCUCAAGGAUACCCGCGCCGUGUUGCUGCCUCAGCCCGAGAGCCGCCUCUUCCGCCCACAGCUUUUGAAACGUAGCCAGCAUUUGUAAGGCUAAACCUUUUUCACAAACUGAGUUGAGAUGAAUCACCACCAGGCCACCAUUCCUCUUCAGAAGGAGAGUGCUUAACAGACGUUUGAAUCCCUUUGCCCUUUCCGAUGGCUACC